CAGAAACGUAAACAAACACGGACAACCGACGGCAAAGAUUGUGUGCAGAAUAAUCGUGAAGUUUUAUGUGAAAACUCGAGAAAAGGAAAACCAUCAUUUCAUUCCGAAAUUUGGCAACAUUCGUCCGAAUAUUGUUGAGCAGCUGUAUGUAUGCCGACGAAAUACGACGCCGUUUCCACAAUAAUCACCAAAGCCGGCUGUGAACAAAAUCGGAACAUCCUCAGAUGGACCAAACCACCGGUCGUUGUGUAUCUUCAAGCAAACCAACGUUGCCACACACCACAAAAUAGCAGGGAAAGAAAUGUGUUGUACGGUGUAUUAUGUGUUUUAUGUUAUUUGUAUCGCUUUGAAAGUGAUACAUUUAGAGCGAUUAAUCGUUGUGCUACAGCUAACUAAAAUACGACCCGAGCGGUAGAAGCGGCAACAAUAAAUGUGCCUGACGCAGAGACAACAACGCCGUCGGCAUCCGUUGAUACCAUCCAUAGUGAUUGAAAUCAAAUUUAAACGUGUAAAACCAUUAUUGGGGCAUGUAAGUAUUGAUUACUAGUUAAAUAAAAUAUAUUUUCUCGUUGUA